AGGCAGUUAGGCAGGGAGCUUUAAUCAAGAUUUGUAGCUCUGCGAGGGGCAGCGACAGCAAACAUCCCGCAGGUGUACGCCGUAACUCCACCAUCCGGACUCCAAUGUAGAUUACUCUGGCCGCGUUUGAUCGGCUCUUUGAAAGCCUUUAACAAUUGCCUGUGACGAACGACCGGGCUCAGUGUUUUCUGAAUAAUGCCUUGAGCAUCGAACCUAGAAAUUGUACUUUCCUCAAGAUCCGCUUAAGAGAAUCUGGUUGAUGGCUUUGGUCUGAGAGUUCAGACAUCUCUUGUGCAACUAAGAAAGACCUCAUUUUCCAUUUGCUGGAUCCUCCUGGUUUGUCAUCCCUGAGUCCUGUAAGAAGCUCAUCAGGAGGUCCCCUGCGCCGGAAGGACCAUGUGAGCUCAUCCCAGAUGAUGGGUGGCACCAUGGUUUUAGCAGCUCACACAGUGGAGAACCACAUUUGCUCUGGAAGAGCUUAGCAACAUGUAUUUGAUAACACAACAAGGUCAGCUUGAGCUCUAUCCUUCUGUGGCCAUACUGAACAAAAGGAGAGACAGACAGACAGACAGACAGACAGACAGGCAGGCAGGCAGGCAAGCAGACAGAGGCAGAGACAGGCAGACAGAGACAGAGAAACAGAGAAAUGAUUCCUGAAUUAUUUUUAAAAAUUAAUUUUAAAAUUCAGAUCAAUUAAUCAGUAAUACAUGCCUGUAGUCUCAGCCCUAGAACAGAUCAAACAGGAGAGUCUCAAGACUAAGGUCAGCCUGGACCACUGGUGACUGUUUCAAAGAAAACAAAUUACCAUUUGGGCAUAAUGGCACACGCCUUUUAAUUCCAGUCCUUGGGAGGCAGAGGCAAGUGGGUCUCUGAGUUCGGGACCAGCCUAGUCUACAGAGUGAGUUCCAGGUCAGCCAGGGCUAUACAGAGAAACCUUAUCUCAAACCAGCCAACAAAACCCACAGCAAACCGAAAACAGGUUAUCCUUUAAAAAGACGAUUUAGCUGGGCAGUGGUGGCACAUGCCUUUAAUCCCAGCACUUGGGAGGCAGAGGGAGGUGGGUUUCUGAGUUCGAGGCCAGCCUGGUCUACAAGGUGAGUGCCAGGACAGCCGGGACUAUACAGAGAAACCCUGUCUCAAAAAAAAAACAACAACAACAACAACAACAAAAAAGACAAUUUAGCCAGAUAUGAUGGCUCAUGCCUUUAAUCCCAGCACUUGCAAGGUAGACACAGGCAGCGAGUUCAAAUCUAUCCAGGUCUAUAUAUUGAAUUCCAGGACACCCAGGGGUACAGAUUAGAGAGACUUCAUGUUUAACAACACACACACACACACACACACACACACACACACACCCCACUAUGUGAAUACACAGGUUUAUGUGCAUCCUAUCCCAGAGAGCCUGUGGUGAUUAUAAAACAGUAAAAAUAGGGCACAGUAGACAGCACCUUCGAGAUCAGCUUAGAACACUUACCUGUCACUUCUGUGUCACUUUUGGUGUGGCAGUUAUUAUAUUUCUAUAAUUCAUCUUUUGAGGGAGGCUCAGAAUCGGUAUGAAAUGAUAUAUGUUUACCUCUUUACUCUGUGAAUCAGGCUCUCAUAUAGUCUAAGCUGGCCUUGAACUCCUGGUAUAGCAGAGGGUGGCCUUGAUCUGGGAGCAAAGGUGCUGUCAUUUCCAGCAGAGAAAUGAUAUCUAGACCAAAGACACAGUUUUUAUUAUAUAGCCAAUGCUUCUUUAAAUGCCUGGCAACCCUCCCUUCUGCAGUGCUUGAUGGUGUGUUACUGAAGGAGUUUUCCUAAACACCAGCACAAAUGAACGGGCACACAUCAAGCAUACAAGACCUGGAGGAGGGAGGGGGCCCUGCCGAUUCCUCAGAUGCAGUGAUGGAUGAGAAAAGUAAGGGUGGACCAGAGCAGCCACAGCAUUGAAAGUCUGUGGUUUCAUUUCACAGAAGUAGUUGUUCAGCUCUGUACUUGGUUUGCCAUUGGCAGUGUUGUAUAGGGGGCUGAGGCUCAAACCCAGGCCCUUACCACUAGGGACUGUCAUUCUUAGCCUUCCAACCUUAAAAACAAACAAAACAACAACAACAAAAACUUAUUUUGAUUUUCAUUUAAUUUCAUAUUGCACCCAGGAACUAUUUUAAGAAAUCUUGUGUCAUAACCUGUGACCAAAAGUUAAGUAGCAGUUUUCCUAAUGUGUCUGCGUUUGCUAUAAAGAAUUGAAACUGAGCCAGGCAGUGUUGGUGCAUGCCUUUAGUCUCAGCACUUGGGAGGCAGUAGCAGAUGGAUUUCUGAGUUCGAGGCCAGCCUGGUCUACAGAGUGAGGACAGGACAGCCAGGGCUAUACAGAGAAACCCUAUCUCCAAAGCCGGAACAAAAAAAGGUUUGAAACUGUGUGAGUAUUUUCAUUGUCUGGCACUUUAUAACAGGUCUUAUUUGGUAUUGACAUUGGUAUUUGGAAUGAGCAUUUGAAGGUUUUAAAAGCUUCAGUAUUUAUUUUGUUCUAAAAUAAAGUACCUUUUCCCUCUGUG
ensembl:processed_transcript